rnacentral:rRNA from 1 species
AUUGAACGCUGGCGGCAUGCCUUACACAUGCAAGUCGAACGGCAGCACGGGUGCUUGCACCUGGUGGCGAGUGGCGAACGGGUGAGUAAUAUAUCGGAACGUACCUUGUUGUGGGGGAUAACGCAGCGAAAGCUGUGCUAAUACCGCAUAAUCCCUAAGGGGGAAAGCGGGGGACCGUAGGCAUCGCGCAAUUAGAGCGGCCGAUACCUGAUUAGCUAGUUGGUGAGGUAAAGGCUCACCAAGGCAACGAUCAGUAGCUGGUCUGAGAGGACGAUCAGCCACACUGGGACUGAGACACGGCCCAGACUCCUACGGGAGGCAGCAGUGGGGAAUUUUGGACAAUGGGGGCAACCCUGAUCCAGCAAUGCCGCGUGAGUGAAGAAGGCCUUCGGGUUGUAAAGCUCUUUUGUCAGGGAAGAAACAGCAGCUCUAACACAGUAUGCGAAUGACGGUACCUGAAGAAUAAGCACCGGCUAACUACGUGCCAGCCGCCGCGGUAA